rnacentral:rRNA from 1 species
UACCAGCACCCCGAGUGGUCGGGACGUUUUAUUGGGCCUAAAGCAUCCGUAGCCGGUUCUACAAGUCUUCCGUUAAAUCCAACUGCUUAACAGGUGGGCUGCGGAAGAUACUAUAGAGCUAGGAGGCGGGAGAGGCAAGCGGUACUCGAUGGGUAGGGGUAAAAAUCCGUUGAUCCAUUGAAGACCACCAGUGGCGAAGGCGGCUUGCCAGAACGCGCUCGACGGUGAGGGAUGAAAGCUGGGGGAGCAAACCGG